GAAAUGCGAUACGUAGUGUGAAUUGCAGAAUUACGUGAAUCAUCGAAUCUUUGAACGCAAAUGGCGCUCCGGGGCCCAUCCCCGCAGCAUGGCUGCUUGAGUGGCAUAAUUGUCUCUCCUCAAAGGAUUGUCCUUUGGACAUGGUGUGUACAGUGGCAGUUUUCUCUGCUGCUGUUCCACUGAAGUGACGCGGUCGCUUGUGGAGCGGGCUUGUGCGCGCGCUCGUGCCCUUCUCUCUGCGUGACUAGUGUGUUGCAUGUGGCGUCAGCCACAUUGUCCUCGCUAGUAGUGCGGUUGAAGGUGCAUGCGUGUACAAACUGUCCCACAGGGCGCAGCCAAAAGAGAAAGAGCACGUCUUACGCGUUCUGUUCUCUCUAACACUUACUUUGAUGCUCUCAAG
rnacentral:misc_RNA from 1 species